rnacentral:rRNA from 1 species
AGAAUCAACGCUGGCGGCGUGCCUAACACAUGCAAGUCGAACGAGAAAGUGGAGCAAUCCAUGAGUAAAGUGGCGACCGGGUGAGUAACACGUGACUAACCUACCUUUCAGUGGGGAAUAACCUCGGGAAACCGGGACUAAUACCGCAUAAUGUCUUCGGACCAAAGGAGCAAUUCGCUGGAAGAGGGGGUCGCGGCCGAUUAGCUAGUUGGCGGGGUAACGGCCCACCAAGGCAAUGAUCGGUAG